AGCCGCCGCGGUAAAACAGAGGGUGCGAGCGUUAAUCGGAUUUACUGGGCGUAAAGCGUGCGUAGGCGGCUUUUUAAGUCGGAUGUGAAAUCCCUGAGCUUAACUUAGGAAUUGCAUUCGAUACUGGGAAGCUAGAGUAUGGGAGAGGAUGGUAGAAUUCCAGGUGUAGCGGUGAAAUGCGUAGAGAUCUGGAGGAAUACCGAUGGCGAAGGCAGCCAUCUGGCCUAAUACUGACGCUGAGGUACGAAAGCAUGGGGAGCAAACAGGAUUAGAUACCCCGGUAGUCCCUGUCUCUUAUACA
rnacentral:rRNA from 1 species